GAAGCAGACUCGGUCACCCUCCGGCCUGACCACGUGCUGCCCGGGCCACUGUUAGGGGUGCAAGGUAGCCCCUCCCAGAUCCGUAUGUUGAAGUCCUGACCCCUGCCACCCCAGAGUGGGGCCUUAUUGGAAAGAGGGUGGCUGCAGACGAAAUCAGUUAAGAUGAGAUCAUACCGGAGUACGGUGGGCCCAAUCUGACAGGACUGUCCUUAUAAAAGGGGGAAAUGUGGACACAGACGCCACAGACGGAGAGAAGGCCUCGUGCCAAGACACAAGGAGAAACGGCCGGCUAUGAGCCAAGGAGACAGCCCCUUCCCUCACGGCCUCUGAAGGAACCAGCCGGACGACACCUUGAUUUCAGACCCUCAGCCUCCAGAACUGGGAGAGAAGAAACUUCUGUGGCGUGAACCGCCCCGUCUGUGGUACUUUGCUAGGGCAGCCGACUGGCUGGAAACUGAGGGUGCUGGCCGGGGCGGUCAGGGCAGAGCCAGGUGGCCACGGGCAAGACGUGGUCCCCGGACGCCGCGGCCUCCUCGAGCCUACAGGGGGCAGGCACAGCAUCUGCCGGGGAGGAUGGAGGGCAGACGGCAGGCGGGGCCUUGGGACAUCCCGCAGCCGAGCAGGCCGCCACUCCCACGUGCCCUGGCUGCUGCUCAGCUGGCACACCUCACGCCCACCGUGGGACCCUGCUCGUCUGACGGGGCCAGGCACCCUUUCAAACACUGCGGGAGCUCAGCAAAGCCGCUGACGGCAGAUCCCUGCUCAAUCUGCCAGAAUGUUCUGGUCAUGAGUGGAAAAGGGGUUUGGUCAUGGCCUAAGCGUGCCCCCCAAAAAACCAACCCCCAAGUUAUGAAAACGAGUAUAGUUUAUCUUAUGGUUUUUUCUGGAACGUUACACAGGAAGGCGUUUGGACCAAACUAGGCCCGGGCUCCCUCGGUCUGCGGGAGCUCUCGAAUCCCUGACGUGGGGGGUGCUUCCCUUUGACACCUGGCGCCCCCACGGCCAGCUGCCUUCUUGGCUGCAGCCUCUUUUGCCCUCCUGGCUGUGGGGUCCUGACUCCCUGGGGGAUGAGGACCCUUGUCCUUGAUGCUGACCAGUGACAAAGAAUGAUCCAGACACGGAUGGGUCUGGGAAAGUGAUACGUGAGGAUCUGUGCAAAAUGCUGGGGUGAGGGCAGCCCAGUCUGAGGCUGGGGUCCCUCGGACAGCUGUCCCACAGAGCUCUCUCUUCUGGGAGCCCAAAGAGAGGCCUGGACCUCUAAGUCACCGCCCCCCCGCAGGACUGAGAAGGCCACGGCCUGAUCCCAACGGGACCUCUGUCAAGGCUUGCUCGUUGGCAUCACUCCUCGUGCCACGUGACCCCUGGAGGGACGGAAGGCCGCGCCUACCGCUCCCGGUUUCACAGACGGAGGCUCCGGGUAGUGCCUUUCUGGGUGCAGCGGGCCAAGGGGGUCACCUGUCCCUGGGAAGGGGGCGAGCGGCCUGCUGGUGCCACCCGACUGUCUCCCACACACACCCCGGCCCCUCCUCUUGGCAUCUGGAAGCUUCCCCGGGGGUGCCAGCCACACAUACCUUGCCCUGACCGUCCGUCUGAAACUCGGCCAGCUUCAAGGCAAUCUUGGGAUUCUUGCUGCCUGCGGAAACGAGGGCAAGGCCCCAGUGCAUGGUCAUGCAUCCUGGUUGUAAGUCUUUCUACUUCUUCUGUGCAAGCCGCCACCACAGCAUGGCUACUGACAGAAGGCCGUGUGGUUCCACGACCGUGAAGCGAACCCGGGCUGCCGAGGUGGCGAAAGCGCCAGACUUUAACCACUAGGCCAUCAGGGCUGGCACAAUACGUUCUUAAAGACAGAAUCCAAGGCAAAAUUACCCCCAUGCCGUGACGCAAGCUACGUACACCUGAGUCGGUCGGUGUGGGGGCUAUACGGGACAGCUACUGUGUGGGCAUGGGGAAAUUCAGAGUGUGUCAUGUCACCCCCCACCCCCUGGUGUUGUUAUAUUACUUUUACAACCAAAAAGAAACCCAAAUAAACUAACACCAAAGGCA